AGGACGAACGCUGGCGGCGUGCUUAACACAUGCAAGUCGAGCGGAAAGGCCCUUCGGGGUACUCGAGCGGCGAACGGGUGAGUAACACGUGAGCAACCUGCCCUUAGCUUCGGGAUAGCUCCGGGAAACCGGAAUUAAUACCGAAUAUGAUUUUUGCUGACAUCAGCAGAAGUGGAAAGUUUUUCGGCUAGGGAUGGACUCGCGGCCUAUCAGCUAGUUGGUGAGGUAACGGCCCACCAAGGCGACGACGGGUAGCCGGCCUGAGAGGGCGACCGGCCACACUGGGACUGAGACACGGCCCAGACUCCUACGGGAGGCAGCAGUGGGGAAUAUUGCGCAAUGGGCGAAAGCCUGACGCAGCGACGCCGCGUGGGGGAUGAAUGCCUUCGGGUUGUAAACCCUUUCAGCAGGGACGAAGCGAAAGUGACGGUACCUGCAGAAGAAGCGCCGGCUAACUACGUGCCAGCAGCCGC
rnacentral:rRNA from 1 species